rnacentral:rRNA from 1 species
AGUGGAUGGGGAGCAACCUAGUUGUGCGUGUGUAAAGGUAGUGCCAAGAAAAGCGAUGAUCAUGUUGAAAAUCAAUUCCCGGUACCCGAAACCGACACAGGUGGGCAAGUAGAGAAUACUAAGGGGCGCGAGGUAACUCUCUCCAAGGAACUCGGCAAAAUGACCCCGUAACUUAGGGAGAAGGGGUGCCACCGAGAGGUGGUCGCAGUGAAGAGGCCCAGGCGACUGUUUAGCAAAAACAUAGGUCUCUGCAAACUCGAAAGAGGAUGUAUAGGGGCUGACGCCUGCCCAGUGCCGGAAGGUUAAAGAAGUUGGUCAGUUUUAGGAUGAAGCUAGCGACUGAAGCCCCGGUGAACGGCGGCCGUAACUAUAACGGUCCUAAGGUAGCGAAAUUCCUUGUCGGGUAAGUUCCGACCCGCACGAAAGGCGUAACGAUCUGGGCGCUGUCUCGGAGAGAGGCUCGGCGAAAUAGGAUUGUCUGUGAAGAUACGGACUACCUGCAUUUGGACAGAAAGACCCUAUGAAGCUUUACUAUAGCUUGGAAUUGUGUUCGGGCUUCCUGUGCGCAGGAUAGGUGGGAGGCGUAGAAGGUAUUCUUGUGGGGAUACUGGAGCCAACGGUGAGAUACCACUCUCAGGAGGCUAGAAUUCUAACUUAAUUAAGGACAGUUUCAGGUGGGUAGUUUGACUGGGGCGGUCGCCUCCAAAAAGGUAACGGAGGCGUACAAAGGUUCCCUCAGACUGGUUGGAAAUCAGUCGAAGAGUGCAAAGGCAGAAGGGAGCUUGACUGCGAGAAGUACAGUUCGAGCAGGGUGGAAACACGGUCUUAGUGAUCCGACGGUGCUGUGUGGAAGGGCCGUCGCUCAACGGAUAAAAGUUACUCUAGGAUAACAGGCUGAUCUCCCCCAAGAGUUCACAUCGACGGGGAGGUUUGGCACCUCGAUGUCGGCUCAUCGCAACCUGGGGCGGAAGUACGUCCCAAGGGUUGGGCUGUUCGCCCAUUAAAGCGGUACGUGAGCUGGGUUCAGAACGUCGUGAGACAGUUCGGUCCAUAUCCGAUGUAGGCGUGAGAAUAUUGAGAGGAGCCUUCCUUAGUACGAGGGGACCGGGAAGGACGCACCGCUGGUGUACCUGUUAUGAUGCCAAUUGUAAACGCAGGGUAGCCAAGUGCGGAGAGGAUAACCGCUGAAAUCAUCUAAGUGGGAAGCCCACCUCAAGAUGAGUAUUCUGGUGUAAGGUCACGGGAAGACGACCCGUAAAUAGGCACGAGGUGGAAGUGCAGAGAUGUAUGAAGCCGAAGUGUACUAAUAGACCGUCGGCUUGACC